UUUUGCGGUAAAAUGUGAUAAUCGACUUUUGGAAUUUCGAUCCGAGAAUCAUUCACGGGAACCUCAACGUUAUUACUCAAUGGCAACAUCAACAUCUUUGCCAAAUAUACAUUCGGAAGUAGAAGACAUGCAAAUUGACGCGGUACGUUUUAAACCCCUAACUGAGCAAGAAAAGAUUUGUCGUCGUCAAGAAGGAUUAUGUUUAUAU
rnacentral:lncRNA from 1 species